GACGAACGCUGGCGGCGUGCCUAACACAUGCAAGUCGAACGGGGUGAUCCUUCGGGGUCACUUAGUGGCGAACGGGUGAGUAACGCGUGAGAAACCUGCCUCUCAGUGGGGGACAACAGUUGGAAACGACUGCUAAUACCGCAUAAUGUAUCCGGAGGGCAUCCUUUGGAUACCAAAGCUUUAUGUGCUGAGAGAUGGUCUCGCGUCUGAUUAGCUAGUUGGCGGGGUAACGGCCCACCAAGGCGACGAUCAGUAGCCGGUCUGAGAGGAUGAACGGCCACAUUGGGACUGAGAUACGGCCCAGACUCCUACGGGAGGCAGCAGUGGGGAAUAUUGGACAAUGGGGGAAACCCUGAUCCAGCGACGCCGCGUGAGUGAAGAAGUAUUUCGGUAUGUAAAGCUCUAUCAGCAGGGAAGAAAAUGACGGUACCUGACUAAGAAGCCCCGGCUAACUACGUG
rnacentral:rRNA from 1 species